ACCACGUCCGUGUGGUUUUAGCAAGACAGAGGCUUGGUGGGGUUGCUGUCGAAGGGCUCUAUGGCAUGAGCUUCCCUUUGAAGAAGGGGUCGUCGGAGAGAAACAAACACAAAAUGUUGGCAUCAGUGCGGUCGUGGCUUCCGUCUCUCCUAUUCCUCCUCCUAUGCAGACGCUGCCUCCUACCAUUCAGAUGAUUAAUUUGAGCAUCACCCAUCAGACUCAGCGAGAUUGACUGUUCCUGGAGGGCUGAGUAUAGCAUGCAGCACUGCGAAGGCUAUUAAGUGGGACGCCGCAUGGUUGAAUAACAUUGAUCCUUCAGGGCUGCACACUCAGGGUUCACCUUUCACCUUAUGACAAGCAUGUGGCGGCCAAUAAUGCUAGAAUGGUGCAUUCGGAAAUUGGAAGGGACGUAGGGAGUAUGAUGAAAGUUAAUGCUCCAGGACUGGCAAUCUAGAACUAGUAUUUGCUUUCCUAUGGAUGGCAGUACUGUGCCAGCUUCAUUUUGCAAGCUUUACUAGUCAAGUCAUGUCAACAUUAUGUAAAUAGUCGUGUUCUAGUUGUUUGGAUGUGAUGUAUUAGAAUUCCGGAUGUAUUAGAAUUCAGUGAGUUAUAUUCUCUAGCUCCUUGACAUUAGUUUCGAAAUCCUGUUAAGUUUGCUUUAAGUAGCGAGAGAUCCAUGUCAUGGUAUGAUCAAAGCUUGUAUCUGAACUUCAAUAUAAACUAUGUGCUCCUGUUUACGCCAA